CACGCUGUAAACGAUGUGCGCUAGACGUUGGCGGACCUAGUUCGCCAGUGUCGCAGCUAACGCAUUAAGCGCACCGCCUGGGGAGUACGGCCGCAAGGUUAAAACUCAAAGGAAUUGACGGGGGCCCGCACAAGCGGUGGAGCAUGUGGUUUAAUUCGAUGCAACGCGCAGAACCUUACCAGCCCUUGACAUGGGGAGUAUGGGUCGCAGAGAUGCGACCCUUCAGUUCGGCUGGCUCCCACACAGGUGC
rnacentral:rRNA from 1 species